rnacentral:rRNA from 1 species
AUUGAACGCUGGCGGCAUGCUUUACACAUGCAAGUCGGACGAGUGGCGAACGGGUGAGUAACAUAUCGGAACGUACCGAGUAAUGGGGGAUAACUAAUCGAAAGAUUAGCUAAUACCGCAUAUUAUUCGAGCGGCCGAUAUCUGAGUAGCGGUUUGGUGGGGUACAGGCCUACCCAGGCGACGAUCAGUAGCGGGUCUGAGAGGAGGAUCCACCACACUGGAACGUGGACACGGCCCAGACUCCUACGGUAGGCAGCAGUGGGGAAUUUUGGAAAAUGGGCGCAAGCCUGAGCCAGCCAUGCCGCGUGUCUGAAGAAGGCCUUCGGGUUGUAAAGGACUUUUGUCAGGGAAGCGGUACCUGAAGAAUAAGCACCGGCUAACUACGUGCCAGCAGCCGCGGUAAUAC